GAACGCACAUUGCGCCCGCUAGUAUUCUGGCGGGCAUGCCUGUUCGAGCGUCAUUUCAACCAUCAAGCGCCUGCGCUUGUGUUGGAGCCCUGCGGCUGCCGCAGGCUCCCAAACCCAGUGGCGGGCUCGUCGUCGUACCGAGUGCAGUAAACAUCCUCGCUCAGGGCACGCGUCGGGUACCGGCCGUAAAACACCCCCCUAUAUCAAGGUUGACCUCGGAUCAGGUAGGAAUACCCGCUGAACUUAAG
rnacentral:misc_RNA from 1 species